rnacentral:sRNA from 1 species
GCUGGGCAUGUGGUGGCACAUGCCUGUAAUCCCAGGGGCUCUGGAGGCUAAAACAGGAGGAUCUCAAGUUCAAAGGCUAGCCUCAGCAAUUUAGUGAGGCCCUAAGCAACUCAGUGAGACCCAGUUUUUA